AGGGCACCACCAGGAGUGGAGCCUGCGGCUUAAUUUGACUCAACACGGGAAAUCUCACCAGGCCCGGACACUGGCAGGAUUGACAGAUUGAGAGCUCUUUCUCGAUUCGGUGGGUGGUGGUGCAUGGCCGUUCUUAGUUGGUGGAGUGAUUUGUCUGGUUAAUUCCGAUAACGAACGAGACUCUAGCCUACUAAAUAGAUCGUCGGCUUACAAACGCCGAUGAGACUUCUUAGAGGGACAGGCGGCGAUUCAGCCGCACGAAACAGAGCAAUAACAGGUCUGUGAUGCCCUUAGAUGUCCGGGGCCGCACGCGCGCUACACUGAAGGGAUCAGCGUGUCUUCCCUUCCCGAGAGGGACGGGUAACCCGCUGAACCCCCUUCGUGGUAGGGAUCGGGGCUUGCAAUUAUUCCCCGUGAACCAGGAAUUCCCAGUAAGCGCAAGUCAUAAGCUUGCGUUGAUUACGUCCCUGCCCUUUGUACACAUCGCCCGUCGCUACUACCGAUUGAACGUUUUAGUGA
rnacentral:rRNA from 1 species